rnacentral:rRNA from 1 species
UACGUAGGGUGCGAGCGUUAAUCGGAAUUACUGGGCGUAAAGCGUGCGCAGGCGGUUUUGUAAGCCAGAUGUGAAAUCCCCGGGCUUAACCUGGGAAUGGCAUUUGGGACUGCAAGGCUCGAGUGCGGCAGAGGAGACUGGAAUUCCUGGUGUAGCAGUGAAAUGCGUAGAUAUCAGGAGGAACACCGAUGGCGAACGCAGGUCUCUGGGCUGACACUGACGCUCAUGCACGAAAGCGUGGGGAGCAAACAGG